rnacentral:rRNA from 1 species
AAGAAGCACCGGCUAACUACGUGCCAGCAGCCGCGGUAAUACGUAGGGUGCGAGCGUUAAUCGGAAUUACUGGGCGUAAAGCGUGCGCAGGCGGUUUUGUAAGUCAGACGUGAAAUCCCCGGGCUUAACCUGGGAACUGCGUUUGAAACUGCAAGGCUAGAGUGCGGCAGAGGGGGGUGGAAUUCCACGUGUAGCAGUGAAAUGCGUAAAUAUGUGGAGGAACACCGAUGGCGAAGGCAGCCCCCUGGGUCGACACUGACGCUCAGGCACGAAAGCGUGGGGAGCAA